rnacentral:lncRNA from 1 species
GGAUAAGAACACUCAUGGGGAAUGUAUAAAGCUGGGAAAGUGGUGACCUCAGUAGAAUAUCUUGAAGUAAAGAACCUGGGAAUCCACAGAAUAAUCAAAUUCAAAGCAGAGCAAAGGAGCUCUGAGAUUGAGUGUAUAUGUUUGGGUGGUUAUUGUUUGUUUUGUUUUGUUUUUUCAGUGCUGGAGAUCAAACCCAGGGCCUGAUGCAUGGUUAUAAUUAGUUUGCUUUAUUGUACUACUGCUUUAUUGUACUACUGAGUUACAUUCCCAGACCUGUUUUUUUAAAAAUGGAUAUUUUUUAAGAGCAGUUUUAGUUUUACAGCAACAUUAAAAGGACAGUACAAAGAUUUUGCAUAUAUCCCCUAUCCUCACGUAUGUGUUGCCUUCCUCAUUAUCAUUAUUCCCCUACCAAGAAUGGUAUUACAACUGAUGAACCUACAUUAUCACAGUGUUAUCACCCAAAGACCAUAGCUUACAUUAUAAUUUUCUUAGUAUGUUUUAUUUUAUUUGUUUGUUUGUUUGUUUGUUUAGUGUAUAUGGUACUGGGGAUUGAACCCAUGAGCACUUUACCACUGAGUUACAUCUCUAGCCCUUUUAAAAUUUAUUUUAAGAUAGGGUCUCACUAGGUUCCCAGGCUGGCCUUGAACUUGUGAUUCUUCUUCCUUAGCCUUCCACUUCUCUGGGAUUAUAUACCACCAUGCCCAGCCAUUGUAUUAAUUUUGACAAAUGUGUAAUGACAUGUGUAUAACACAGGGUACUUUCACUGCCUCCAAAUCUUGUCUUCUUCCUAACCAUCCAUCUCUUUUACCAAACCCCUGGUGACCACUGAUUUAAAAAAAAAAAAAUUGUCUCCAUAGUUUUGAGUUUUCCAGAAUGUUGUAUAGUUGAAAUCAUAUAGACCUUUCAGAUUGGUUCUUUUUUUUUUUUUCAGUUGUUGGUAGACCUUUAUUUAUUUUUAUUUAUUUAUAUGUGGUGCUGAGAAUUGAACCCAGUGCCUCACACAUGCCAGGCAUGUGUGCUACUGCUGAACUCCAGCCCCAGCCCCUGGUUUCUUUCAUUCAAUAUACAUUUAAGGGCUGAGGAUAUAGCUCAGUUGGUAGAGUGCUUGUCUCACAUGCACAAGGCCCUGAGUUCAAUCCCCAGCACCACAAAAAAGAAAAGAAAAAAAUAAUUAUAUAAAUUUAAGUUUCAAUCCUAUCUUUUGCCUGGCUUGAUAUCUCAUUUCUGAUUAGCUCUAAAUAAUAUUUCAUUGUCUGAAUAUACCAUAGUUUACUUAUCUAUUCACCUACAUCUUGGAGGGUUAUUUGGAAGCUACCAAGUAGUAGCAAUUAUGAAUAAAGUUUCUAUAAACAUCUGCAUGUAGAUGUCUGUAUGAAUGUUAGUUUUCAACUCCUUUAUGUAAAUACCAAGGUGAAUGAUUGCUGAAUUGUAACGUAUGUUUAGUUUUAUAAAAUACUACUGUCAAAUUGUCUUCCAAAGUGACUACCAUUUUAUAUUCCCACCAGCAGUGAAUGAGAGUUGCUGUGGCUUCACAGAGUUAUCAUGUCAUCUGCUAACAAAGUUUUCUUCUUCUCAAUUAGUUUCUUUUCUGACUGAAUUAUCCAGGACUUCUAGCAUACUGUGUUAAAAAGGAAUAUGAGGGUUGUGGCUCAGGGGUAGAGAGCUUGCUAGCAUGCAUGAGGCACUAGGUUUGAUCCUCAGUACUACAUAAAAUAUUGUGUCCACCUAUAACUAAAAAGGAGCGUGAUCUGGGCUUGGUUGUACACAUCUGUAAUCCCAGAGAUUCAGGGUUCAGCAAUUUAGCAAGGCCCUAGCAACUUUGUGAGACCCUGUCUCAAAAUAAAAAUGCCUGGGGAUGUGGUUCAGUGGUUAAGUGCUCCUGGGUUCAAUCCCAGUACUAAAAAAAAAAAAAGGAAUGGUGAGAGGGGACAUCCAUACCUGUUCCUGAUCUUAUCAGGAAAGCUGGUUUAUCACCAAUAAGUAUGGUGUUAGCUGUAGAGUCUUUAUAGAUUUUUUUUUUAAUCAGAUGGAGGAAGUUCCCUAUCCUCAUUUAAGAAUAGGUUUUUUUCAUGAAAGAGUUUCAUAUUUAUCAUACGCUUUUCUACAUCUAUUGGUUCAAAUGUGAUUUUUCUUCCUCAAACUGCUUUAUGUGGUAGAUUCCCCUAUUCAUCAAGUACUGGGGAUUGAACCUAGGGAUAUACUACAUCCUCAGUCUAUUUUAUUUUUAUUUAUUUAUUUGUUUUGUUUUUUGGUACCAGGGAUUGAGCCAAAGAGUGCUUAACCACUAAGCCCCACCUCCAGCCCUUUUAUAAAUUUUUAUUUUUAUUUUGAGACAGGAUCUCAUUAGGUUGGUUACAGCCUCAUUAAGUUGCUGAGGUAGGCUUCAAACCUGCAAUUCUCCUGCCUGAGCUUCGCAAGAUGCUGGCACAAUUACCUGCAAUGGAACAGUAGGGAUAAAGGAAGGCCUGACUGAUUAGGCAGGAGCAGGGGCAUAUGUAAUCCCUGAAAUUUGGGAGGCUGAGGCAGAGAGGAGGAUCAAAAGUUCAAAGCCAGCUUCAGCAACUUGCCUAGGCCCUAAGCAGCUUAGCAAGAACCUGUCUCAAAAUAAAAAGGGCUGGAGAUAUGGCUCCAUGGUUAAGUGCCCCUGGGUUCAAUCCCU